rfam:Ciona savignyi cont_60874, whole genome shotgun sequence.
GGUCCUGUGGCCCAAUGGAUAAGGCGCCUGACUACGAAUCAGCAGAUUCCAGAUUCGAGUCCUGGCAGGAUCG